AGUUAAAAAGCUCGUAGUUGGAUUUCUGUGGGGGCGGAGCGGCCGGCCGCAACUUGCGGUUCGAGCUAGCGCUUCCCCUACAUCCUGCCGCGAACCGUGCUACCAUUAGUUUGGUGGCGCCGGGGAUCGGCUCGUUUACUUUGAGAAAAAUAGAGUGUUCAAAGCAGGCCACACGCCUUGAAUAAGUUAGCAUGGAAUAAUAAUAAAGGACUUCGGUUCUAUUUUGUUGGUGUUCGGGACUGAAGUAAUGAUUGAUAGGGACAGUUGGGGCGGUCAGUAUUCCAAAGCGAGAGGUGAAAUUCUUAGACCUUCGGAAGACUAACAGCUGCGAAAGCGUUCCGCAAGGAUGUUCCCUUUGAUCAAGAACGAAAGUUGGGGGAUCGAAGACGAUCAGAUACCGUCGUAGUCUCAACUAUAAACUAUACCAGCUAGGGAUCGGCCAACGUUAAAUUAUUCGACUUGGUCGGCACCUUAUGAGAAAUCAAAGCAUCUGGGUUCCGGGGGGAGUAUGGUCGCAAGGCUGAAACUUAAAGGAAUUGACGGAAGGGCACCACCAGCCGUGGAGCCUGUGGCUUAAUUUGACUCAACACGGGAAAACUUACCAGGUCCAGACAUAGUAAGGAUUGACAGAUUGAUAGCUCUU
rnacentral:rRNA from 1 species